UAUCAAUUAAACAUAUUCACUCAUAUAAUCGCGGGAAUUGGCCUGCAAGUUUCUACCGGACCACCGUAAAUGGUUCGACUAUGAGUGAACAAGAGAGCUUU
rfam:Domibacillus enclensis strain NIO-1016 genome assembly, contig: Ga0061089_101